rnacentral:lncRNA from 1 species
AACUCAAACAUAAUAAUGAUAUUGGGUUUAAACUCCAAAUUCGAAUCACAAGUCCAAGCAAAAAAUAAAACACUAGUCCAGGUAGAUUAAAAGAAACAAGCCCAUUUUUUUUCUUCCUUUUCUUUUUUCUUUCUUCUUCUUCCUCACCUCCGGUGAGCUUCAAGCUUUAGCAGCUGCCGACAACCAUGGCAAACGCUGUCGGCUGGCCGACCACCGGUCACUGAAGACUUUUCCAAUCAUCAAAAUCAGCCAAAAUACAUCUCUCAAUUCGAUUUUUCGCAUAGAAUUCAUUUCUGUGCUUGGUUUUUUACAAAAAUGCACAAAAAUGGGUCAACUUGUGAAUUUACAGUCGAGCUUUAUUUUUUUAAAAAUUGCUCAAAUUAACACUAAAAUUCACUAAACCUACACAAAAACAACCCUUAUGGAUCUAGAGUGCAACUAUGGCUUUAGUUUGACAAAAACAAAAACAACAAAAUGAUAAUUAAAGCGAAAACAGCUCCAAAUGAAUAAAUCUAUUUCAUUGCUUUUAAGGCACAAAAACUUCCAAAAUUUGGAUAACAAAACAUUUUCCAAGUCUUGUACUAGCUAUAAUUGUCUAUUUCAACAAAAUAUAUACACAAACUUCACCCUUUUAAUUCGGUUUUUCAUUUUGACAUUUUUUCAAACACUUGAAAUGCAUACACAAAAACCAUUUUUUCCUUAAUCUUGUUUAUGACCCCUCCCAAAAUUGAAAAUUUCAACUACACAACAACCAAAGAAACCAGCAAAAGAAAGAGAAAAUUAAAAAACAAAACAUGGUUCAAGUUUUUUGGUAAAAUUUCUAAGCCUUAACUGUCCAUUUGUUUCCUUUCCUCAUCUUUCUUUUCCCUAAAAACUAGUACAUGUGAGAGCCAAGGGAGGAAAGAAGAAAAAAAAUGGAGAGAAGUGUGUGCUUGUUUUGAAAGUGAAAGUGAGAGAGGGAGCAGAGAGAGUUGUGAAAGUUGGAGGGAGUUGGUGUUUUUGUCUCGAGAU